CACGUAGGGGCCAAGCGUUGUCCGGAUUCAUUGGGCGUAAAGAGCUCGUAGGCGGUUCAGUCAGUCGGGUGUGAAAUCUCCGGGCUCAACCCGGAGGGGCCACCCGAUACUGCUGUGACUCGAGUCCGGUAGGGGAGUGGGGAAUUCCUGGUGUAGCGGUGAAAUGCGUAGAUAUCAGGAGGAACACCGGUGGCGAAGGCGGCUUUCUGGACAGAUACCGACGCUGAGGCACGAAAGCUAGGGGAGCAAACAGG
rnacentral:rRNA from 1 species